rnacentral:rRNA from 1 species
GGUUAAAAAGCUCGUAGUUGGAUUUCUGUCGAAGACGGCCGGUCCGCUCUUUGAGCGUGUAUCUGGUUCGGCUUUGGCAUCCUCGUGGGGUACGUAACUGUGCUUGAUUGCAUGGUGCGGAAUUCACGACUUUUACUUUGAGGAAAUUAGAGUGUUCACGGCAGGCAUGAGCCUUGAAUACAUUAGCAUGGAAUAAUAAUAUAGGACUUUGGUUUUAUUUUGUUGGUUUCUAGAACUAAAGUAAUGAUUAAUAGGGGUAAUUGGGGGCAUUUGUAUUACGCGUCAGAGGUGGAAUUCUUGGAUUGCGUUACGACAAACUACUGCGAAAGCAUUUGCCAAGGAUGUUUUCAUUGAUCAAGAACGAAAGUAUGGGGAUCGAAGAUGAUUAGAUACCGUCGUAGUCUAUACCAUAAACUAUGCCGACUAGAGAUUGGAGGUCGUUCUUUCUGUGACUCCUUCAGCACCUUAUGAGAAAUCAAAGUCUUUGGGUUCCGGGGGGAGUAUGGUCGCAAGGCUGAAACUUAAAGGAAUUGACGGAAGGGCACCACCAGGAGUGGAGCCUGCGGCUUAAUUUGACUCAACACGGGAAAACUCACCAGGUCCAGACAUAGUAAGGAUUGACAGAUUGAUAGCUCU